rnacentral:rRNA from 1 species
UACGUAGGGGCUAGCGUUGUCCGGAUUAUUGGGCGUAAAGGAGCGUGUAGGCGGCCAGGUAGGUCUGGUGUGAAAACUCGAGGCUUAACCUCAAGAUGGUCAUCGGAAACCAUCUGGCUAGAGUCCGGGAAAGAGGGAGAGGUGGAAUUCCUGGUGUAGGCGGUAGAAAUGCGCGAAGAUAUCAAGGGAAGGAACACCCAAUGGGCGAAAGCAGCUCUCUGGGGACGGUACUGGACG